CCCAGACUCCUACGGGAGGCAGCAGUGGGGAAUAUUGCACAAUGGGGGGAACCCUGAUGCAGCGACGCCGCGUGGGUGAAGGAGUACUUCGGUACGUAAAGCCCUAUCAGCAGGAAAGAAAAUGACGGUACCUGACUAAGAAGCCCCGGCUAACUACGUGCCAGCAGCCGCGGUAAUACGUAGGGGGCAAGCGUUAUCCGGAUUUACUGGGUGUAAAGGGAGCGUAGACGGCAGUGCAAGUCCGGAGUGAAAGCCCGGGGCUCAACCCUGGGACUGCUCUGGAAACUGUAAAGCUGGAGUGCGGGAGGGGCAGGCGGAAUUCCUGGUGUAGCGGUGAAAUGCGUAGAUAUCAGGAGGAACACCGGCGGCGAAGGCGGCCUGCUGGACCGUAACUGACGUUGAGGCUCGAAAGCGUGGGGAGCAAACAGGAUUAGAUACCCGUGUACGA
rnacentral:rRNA from 1 species